AUUGAACGCUGGCGGCAGGCCUAACACAUGCAAGUCGAACGGCAGCGGGGAGUAGCUUGCUACUCUGCCGGCGAGUGGCGGACGGGUGAGUAAUGCCUGGGGAGCUGCCCAAUCGAGGGGGAUACCAGUUGGAAACGACUGCUAAUACCGCAUACGCCCUGAGGGGGAAAGGUGGGGAUCUUCGGACCUAUCGCGAUUGGAUGCACCCAGGUGGGAUUAGCUAGUUGGUGAGGUAACGGCUCACCAAGGCGACGAUCUCUAGCUGGUCUGAGAGGAUGACCAGCCACACUGGAACUGAGACACGGUCCAGACUCCUACGGGAGGCAGCAGUGGGGAAUAUUGCACAAUGGGGGAAACCCUGAUGCAGCCAUGCCGCGUGUGUGAAGAAGGCCUUCGGGUUGUAAAGCACUUUCAGCGAGGAGGAAAGGGUGACAGCUAAUACCUGUCAUCUGUGACGUUACUCGCAGAAGAAGCACCGGCUAACUCCGUGCCAGCCGCCGCAGUAAAAC
rnacentral:rRNA from 1 species